rnacentral:rRNA from 1 species
UACGUAGGGUGCGAGCGUUGUCCGGAAUUAUUGGGCGUAAAGAGCUUGUAGGCGGUCUGUCGCGUCUGCUGUGAAAAUCCGGGGCUCAACCCCGGACUUGCAGUGGGUACGGGCAGACUAGAGUGUGGUAGGGGAGACUGGAAUUCCUGGUGUAGCGGUGAAAUGCGCAGAUAUCAGGAGGAACACCGGUGACGAAGGCGGAUCUCUGGGCCAUUACUGACGCUGAGGAGCGAAAGCGUGGGGAGCGAACAGG